rnacentral:rRNA from 1 species
CAGUAGCCGCGGUAAUGCGGAGGGGGCUAGCGUUGUUCGGAAUUACUGGGCGUAAAGCGCACGUAGGCGGCUUGGUAAGUUAGAGGUGAAAGCCUGGAGCUCAACUCCAGAAUUGCCUUUAAGACUGCCGAGCUAGCAGGUGAGAGAGGUAAGUGGAAUUCCGAGUGUAGAGGUGAAAUUCGUAGAUAUUCGGAAGAACACCAGUGGCGAAGGCGGCUUACUGGCUCAUACUGGACGCUGAGGUGCGAAAGCGUGGGGAGCAAACAGGAUUAGAUACCCCUGUAGUCCCUGUCUCUUAUAU